rnacentral:rRNA from 1 species
UACAGAGACCUCAAGCGUUAUCCGGAAUUAUUGGGCGUAAAGCGUACCGAUAGGUGGUUUAGAAAGUUUUGGGUAAAAGCCAGAAGCUCAACUUCUGAGUUUGCUCAAAAUACUUCUCAACUAGAGGGGCAAAUAGGUAACUGGAACGAACGGUGUAGUAGUGAAAUGCGUAGAUAUGCGGAGGAACACCGAUGGCGAAGGCAAUCCCCUGGGCCUGCACUGACGCUCAUGCACGAAAGCGUGGGGAGCAAACAGG